UCCUUACAUCCCCUUUCUUUCAAUUAGGCUUUAUUGAUACCAGCAUCGAUUCAAUUUUCAUUUUAAAUGCAAUUGAAGAUGUGGUGUUCAGGGACCGUCGGACUUCCCUUUCAAUAUUGCACUCCUGCAUUCAAUUUCGUUUUACGUUUUCGAUUUCACCCUAUAUAGCCCCCCCGCAACCCUUUACGCAAACAAGGUAUGACAGAUUCUUCAGUUUGUUAUAUUCAGCUUUCGUGGGGUUCCGGUUAGUCGUACAGUCGUCGGAACACUGGUAACCUUGGUGAUCUCUGCAUCCCAUCACAGGAAGUGGAUCCAUGUCAUGAAUUGACUGAUGAUGACAUUCGAACCGCCAUAAAGGAUGCAUCAGAUGAGUCAUAGUUUUAUGCUUAAUGAGCUACAAAGGUUUCCUGUCCUUCGAAAGCAAAUAGUUUUUUGCUAAUAGUUUUCUGCUAUUAGGGUAAGGUUUAUGCCUUUAGGGUUUUGCGGCCGUCAAUGGUGUUCUACGGCGGUGAACAAGCAACGGCGGAUUGGACCUUCGGUAGAGAGACCGAUGAUUGUUACCAACCACUACGGCCAGAGAAACCUUAGGCUUGUUAUGACAAGAAAUACCAGGUAUGGGUUUGUUUUUUUUUAUUGAGUCUCAUUAUAAAAGACGGCGGAUUAGGGAUAUGGUUCUAAUUGUACAGGUAUGUUGCUACUGGAUUUAAGGAUUUUGUAUAAAUUAUAUAAUAUAACAGGUUUUUAAUGAUAUUUUUAGGGAAAUUUGAUGAUGACCGUGAAGAACUGUUGUCAGCUGCAAAUUAUGCUCGUAAUGCUAGCUAUCUAGCAUGUUCAAGCGCUUUUUGGGAAAAACUUGAACCUAUUUUAGCACUCAUUAUAGAGGAAUCCGUUAAUGAAUUUGGUUAAUGAAUUUGAAGAAGGAAAAAUUACCGAAAAUAUACCGCUUCAAGAUACUUUUGGUGAUUCAGCUUAUGAUACAUUUCACAAUGAUGAUUUCAGUGAGCCUAGAAAGAAGGAUAGGAGGGAAGUUGAAAUAGAGCUUCAUGUUGAUCUGGUAACCACAUCGUUUUGCUUAACUAAAGCAUAUAAAAAUAAAACAUAUUUUCAUGGAUUCGUAGGUUCCGUGUCAAUCUGAUAAGUGGUAACACUGAUUCGCUAGCAAGCUUCUUAUAUAUACUUCUUUAAGGGCUUAUCUGAUACGCACUGUGGGUUAUCUUUCAUUCUUUGUUCGAUAGUACGUACCAACAUGACCUCAUAUUCUAUAGCUCAGAUGUGGGCCGUAUGCAGGUAUCAUUUUUAUAUGCAUUUGUUUUCUUGGUGCUUAAAGUUUCACUUAUUCUUUUUUUCUGUACCCAACUUCCAUCUCCUUGAGCCAAACCGUAGCCUACCGAAACUGAUUGGUUUUAAUACAGAAUGUAGGCUUUCUACAAGACCAACUGCUAUAGAAUCUAAAGGUCUAACGUUAGUAUCAGAAGUUGUGAUAAAAAAGGACGAAUAAUGUAAAACGAGACCCAAAACAUAUUAUUAUCUCAUGUUUUCAGCCUGGUAUAACCUUGCUUAUAAAGAAGCUUCAACAUAAAUACACGGUUAGUAAUUUAUAUUUUCGUUAGAGGUGGUCUGGGUUAGUUGUAUAAUGAACCGAGAUAGGUUCGGAUCGAAACGGGUCAGUCCAAGUGGGGUUGAGCUGCAAACAACUUAUUUGAAGUAUUUUUCUGUUUUAUUGUAGAUUCUUUGGGAUAGGUUUAAAAUGGGCCAAAAUGGAUUGGGUUGACUAACGUGUCGAACCUUCUCUCUUGUGUCGCUUCCCUUGUUGGGUAAUGGGUCAACACGGAUUAUGGUUGUCUUUGUUUCGUACCAGCUGGAAUGGGCCAAGUUGACCCUCAAAACACUUUUUCACCCUUAAAGAUAAUAUGUUAUGAAACUUAUUAUUACCAUUUUAUAUAUGAAAUAUGCUUAAAGUCACUGGUUGUCGUAACUUUCUUUUCAUUAUCCAGGUUUUUUUUUUGUGUCUCUCGUUUUGAUGAAGAUCUUAGGAAGCCUAAUCGAAGGCAAACAAUUAGAAAACAAAAGAGAAAAUUUAUAAGAUGGGAAGAAGAAACAUGGAAAUAAAACAAGCAUUACCUGAUGGUAAAAAUUAAAUUUAAGCAAGAAAUAUCUUCAAAGACAAGAGGAGUUACUUUGUUGUUUCUAUAUGCAAGCAUUUACUGAAGUGAUUUUUUAAAUUUAGGAUUCACAUCGUCAUGUGUUCUUUAGGUCAGGUCAAAGCUAAUUACAUGGUUGCACCAUUUGCACAAGAUUUAGAUGAAAAAAAUGAAGAUACAAGCUCGCACUCUUUCAGGACAAUAUUAGUUGUUUAGACCAAAAUUUGCCGAUCCGAUCCUACUGGAAGCUCACUGGAGCGUCUUGAUGGCUGCAAGGCGAUAUGCAGCAGAACAAGUGCAUGCCCCUGCCACCUUCCAAUGCGGCGGUUGAUAAUAAGCAUGAAGGAGAUUUUCGCAUCUCUGGAUAUGUGAGGUGAACAUUAUAGGAUGCCAAAGGUUCGAAUCCAUCAAGCGUCGGCCAUUGCAGAGAAAGAUAGUUGUGGCAUUGUGAAGUUAAAUAACCCGGCCAACGGACACGAGGUGAAUACUGAUGAUGCCAAAAUUUCAACCACAUCGGCUGAUGAACGCGUCACAGCUGAAUCUCAUGAGAGACUAAGUCCUAUGAGAUUACUUCGGAACCCAAAACGAUAUACAUCAUAGAGAACUUUGUGUUUCAUUACCUUUAACACAUUAUAGUUGUUAUUUAGCA